GUGACCAUACUUAAUGAGAAGUAAUUCCUUACUGGUUAAAGAGUUUCAAAUUUAAGUAUGAUGUUGUGUUUGCAUAUGUUCAGUUCGCUGAACAUCGUAAAAAAGUAAUUUUGAUUACUUUUUUAAACUUCCUGUAUUAAUUAUUAACCUUAAUUUGGUUUUUCAUAUCAUUCGCCACUCAAUAAAAUGAGUGGCUUUUUUCU
rnacentral:other from 1 species